rnacentral:rRNA from 1 species
AGUGAACGCUGGCGGUAGGCCUAACACAUGCAAGUCGAACGGCAGCACAGUAAGAGCUUGCUCUUACGGGUGGCGAGUGGCGGACGGGUGAGGAAUACAUCGGAAUCUACUUUUUCGUGGGGGAUAACGUAGGGAAACUUACGCUAAUACCGCAUACGACCUACGGGUGAAAGCAGGGGAUCUUCGGACCUUGCGCGUUUGAAUGAGCCGAUGUCGGAUUAGCUAGUUGGCGGGGUAAAGGCCCACCAAGGCGACGAUCCGUAGCUGGUCUGGGAGGAUGAUCAGCCACACUGGAACUGAGACACGGUCCAGACUCCUACGGGAGGCAGCAGUGGGGAAUAUUGGACAAUGGGCGCAAGCCUGAUCCAGCCAUACCGCGUGGGUGAAGAGGCCUUCGGGUUGUAAAGCCCUUUUGUUGGGAAAGAAAAGCAGCAGGUUAAUACCCCGCUGUUCUGACGGUACCCAAAGAAUAAGCACCGGCUAACUUCGUG